GGUCUAUUAGUUCAUUUGGUUACAGUGUGGUACUAAUAAUGCCAAGGUCACAAGUUCGACCCCUGUAUGGACCU
rfam:Sphaerobolus stellatus SS14 unplaced genomic scaffold SPHSTscaffold_79, whole genome shotgun sequence.